rnacentral:lncRNA from 1 species
UUUGAAUAUAAUAAAAAUAUUAAAUAAAAUAUUCUAUUUUCUUAAAACACAAUAUUUUCAAAGUCUUCCUAAAAUAACUUUUGUAGCGUAAGAGUAAAAUAAAUUUAUUCAUAUAGUAACAAAGAUAAUUAAAGUAUGAAAUUUCAUUUACAGUGACACGUGGACCCCCAACUAACCAAGAAGGUGUAGAGCUACGAACCCUUACUUCCUAUGAUGCAACUCCGAGAUUAAUUCUCGUCUUAAUCAACUAUCAACAAACUGUCCUGAGCCUGAAAAAUGGAUAGGAAGAGGGGUGAGAUUAUGAUUACAUAAUCCCAGUGAGUAAACAAUUACCAUCAAAAGCAUAUAAAGCCGAGUAGAUAGAGACAAUAUAAAAACAUUAUAUCUCAAUAAUGUUCAUAACACAAAAUUCGUUUCAAUUUAUACCAAAUAAUUUCUUUUCAUCAAAAUUUUCCGGCUUAUGAAUUUCUUAAACUUGACCUCUGCCAGAAUCAUUCUCGCGGGUACCUUCGUCAAGGUAUCCCACUGAGACCACCAAGGCUGUUCAAUGACCCAUACCUAUAAACAUGUUUUCACAUCUAACACACAGCCGUUCCUUGGCAUUGGCUAAGUCUCACUCUCACGUGGUGGCCCGAACGUGAGGUGCACUCAAAUCAUACCUCAGGAGAUACUUUAGCCAACAUCUCUCCCCGGAGGUAAAUAUAUAAUUGAGUUACCGUGCUCCUAUCAUAGGCAGUCCACGAAAACCCCCACCACUGCAGUGACCAUUUAAUAUACCACCAGACCCAUAAAAUUUUCAGUAGCAUAAUAUAGUGAAUAAAAUUUAAUCCAGUCUACCGAGACCAAUCCAAAAUUGUUCAUAUAUUUCAUGCCAACCCCAAAAAUUUAGCCAUCAUGCUACCAUAGUAUCAUAAGCCCCAAUUUCAAUAACAUAUAAAAUCAUAAAUUUCAACACAGUCUCCAUAUACUCAAUUUUCCCAAAACAAUAUUUGAUUUCAAAACCAGUAUAAAUAUCAUUUUUAUGAAAAAACCAUUUUAAUUGGAAAACAUAAUAUUUUAUAAUUUAAACUCACCAUUCAAUAAAAGCAUUAAACAAGUAUAAUUACUCUAGAUAUUUAAGACGAUAAAUUGUCCACUCACAGUUCUAGGAGUCGAUGUACUCCUAAUCCCAGUCUUCAAGCACAAUCUCUGUACUUUUACUAGUGUAAUUUGCUCACCACCUAUCCACAAUGUAUAAUACAUAAUUCACCACAUCAAUGCUUGACCAUUAUAAAAUCAAUUUAGGCUCUGUAUAUAUGCAUGAUAUGAUAUACAACUUAUCCGACUACUGCUUAAAUGCGGUGCUGACCUAAUUCGGCCUAUUACCCAAUUAAAUCGAUAUACGCGUCCGUUUAAACUCCAAAUUAAUUUUUUUCAGUUUCUAUACCUCAAUUGCACCCAAAUUGACUUAAUGUCCCUCAGUGUGGUGCAAAUUAUCAGUCUCGAUAGCAAAUUACGAAAAUACCCCUAAUGGGUAAAAAUUCAUAUUUUUGCUCCGAAAAUUCCCAUUAUUUUUCUAGACUCAUAAUUCAUCAUUAUUCAUCAUAAUUCCUCAAACAAACAUCAAGAUCAUCAGCCAAUAUUCCCCUAGAAAAUUCAGCCAAUAAUGGUAAUGGAGGAAAAUGAAUUCUUUUCUUGUUGUUUUGUUUCUAAAUAUGCUAAACUAACUUAAAACACUAACAUAACUUAAAAUCAAAUUAAUCUAACAAUUUUCUCUCUCCUAACCCAUUUUUCAGAAUUGAAUUCAUCAUAAUAACUCAAUAUUCAACCAUGGAAAUCAAGAACAAAAGCAUGGGUAAGCUAGGUAUCAAGGAGAACAAAAGAAAUUCUAACUUACCUAGCUUGUUUCCUUGAUUUUUUCACUUUUUCUUUGGAUUUUCACCUAGGUUUUCUUGUUUUUCCCUUUGUUCUUCCUCUC